UACAUGGGGUGCAAACGUUGCUCGGAAUUAUUGGGCGUAAAGAGCUCGUAGGCGGUUUGUUGUGUCGGCUGUGAAAUCCCGAGGCUCAACCUCGGGUCUGCAGUCGAUACGAGCAAACUAGAGUGUUGCAGGGGAGACUGGAAUUCCUGGUGUAGCGGUGAAAUGCGCAGAUAUCAGGAGGAACACCGGUGGCGAAGGCGGGUCUCUGGACAGUUCCUGACACUGAGGCACGAAGGCCAGGGGAGCAAACGGG
rnacentral:rRNA from 1 species